rnacentral:lncRNA from 1 species
GGUGAACUGGAUGAGAGAGGGAAAGAAUAGAGCGAACGUUCGAGUGUGAGUGAGGCAGACACAGCAGAGCAAGUGCGCUAGGACACACACACACACACUCACUUCACAUCGUAGUAGUGUGUGUAGUUUUAUAGAAAGAGUGCGAGUGAGACAUUGGUAUUAUACAUACACAACAACAAGACUUCGUUCUGCUACUUUCUUGAGUGUUGGCCACCAUGGAUUGGAUAGGGAAGGCUUGUUUUUACACAAGGUCUUCUUAAAAUCUACCCUUAAAAAUGUAUGUAAGAUUUUUUUCUCCUGUCAUUAAUAUUAACUGUUUUUUUUUGCUCCUAAUGUUUGCGAACAUUUUUUGCCUUGUUAACUUGGUUUGUCGUAUGUAACACUCUUCACAAGACUUCGUUCCGCUCCUUUCUUGAGGGUUGGCCACCAUGGAUUGGAUAGGGAAGGCUUGUUUUAACACAAGGUCUUCUUAAAAAUCUACCCUUAAAAAUGUAAGAUUCUUUUUCUCUUGUCAUUGUUAUUAACUAUUUGUUUUUACCCCUAAUGUUUGCGAUCUUUUUGCCUUGUUAACUUGGUUUGUCGUAUGUAACACCCUUCACAAGACUUCGUUCCGCUCCUUUCUUGAGUGUUGGCCACCAUGGAUUGGAUAGGGAAGGCUUGUUUUAACACAAGGUCUUCUUAAAAAUCUACCCUUAAAAAUGUAAGAUUCUUUUUCUCCUGUCAUUGUUAUUAACUGUUUUGUUUUGCUCCUAAUGUUUGCGAUCAUUCUUUGCCUUGUUAACUUGGUUCAGUUCCGUUUCUUAAGUGAUGGCCAUAUAUGGGAUAACUAAUAAUUGUUUCUUUACAACGUCUUCUAUCUUUUUGCUAAAACGUACCCCUUUAAAUCUUUUCCCAACAUCUUUUUAAAAGCCUUUUAUCUCGGACAUUGUUUAUGUUAUAUAUAUAUAUAUAUUUCUUUACUACCCACAAGGGGCUAAACACAGAGGGGACAAACAAGGACAGACAUAGGUAUUUAGUCGAUUACAUCGACCCCAGUGCGUAACUGGUACUUAAUUUAUCGACCCCCGAAAGGAUGAAAGGCAAAGUCGACCUCGGCGAAAUUUGAACUCACAACGUAACGCAGACGAAAUACCUAUUUCUUUAUUACCCACAAGGGGCUAAACACAGAGAGGACAAGCAAGGACAGACAUAGGUAUUUAGUCGAUUACAUCGACCCCAGUGCGUAACUGGUACUUAAUUUAUCGACCCCGAAAGAAUGAAAGGCAAAGUCGACCUCGGCGGAAUGUUAUAUAUAUUUCGCUUUAAGAUUACUUUCAGCUCACCCUUGUUAAAUUAACCGUAUUUGAGGAAGGUUAGCUACCAUUUUUAGCCUGUCUUCUUUACAAAGAUUUCUUCGUAGUGCGUGGAACAUGUAGUGUGAGUGUGUAUAUGUAUGUAUAUGCAUAUAUAUGUGUGUGUGUACAGACGCAUAUACACACGUCUUAAGUUUACCGUAUUUGAAAAAGGAAUCGCUGCUAUUUCUAAGCGGGUCCUGCGUACUUCAACUAAACUUCUUCCAGUUCCACACACUUCAGAAGACUUUGCUCCACUCCUGUCGUAAGUGUUGGGCAUGGGGCAUGAACUGAAUACGGAGGCCUUUCUUAAGUGAUGGCCAUGUAUUAGAUAAAAAUGAACGUAUCUUCAAACGAUUUUCUUUCUACUUUCAAAAAAAAAAACCUUCCCCUUAAAAUCUAUUCUGUGCCCUUAACUCUAUGUACAUGUAAUAUAUAUAUUCACUUUAAGAUAUUUUUCUGUUCACUCCUUGUUAUAAAUUUACCGUAUAUGAGGAAGGUUAGCUACCAUUUCUAGCCGAUCUUUUUGCAAAUAUUUCACCACGGUAUAUAGUAACAUGUAGUGUGUAUAUAAGUCUGUGUGUUUAAUACGUGCACACAUACAACAAGUUUUAGGUUCGCCGUAUUUGAAGAAAAUAUCACAGCUAUUUCUAAGCAAGUCCAGCAUACUUCACAAAACUUCUGUCAGUUCUACACAUCAUAACACUUUGCUCCGCUCCCUUAGUGAGUGGUGGCCAUAUACCCGAAGGCCUACUCUUCUAGAAGUCUUGGUAAAAUCUACCUAUAAAAUUUUAACUAAGAUAUAUUUCGUAUACUCACACGAGUGUUACUAUCUGUCCCUACACUUUACUGUUUAUCUAUCUAUCUAUCUAUCUAUCUAUCUUCUUGUCAGUCCGUCUGUCAAUAUCUACGCCUGCAAAUAAUAUACACCUACUGUGUGUGUACAUUUGCAUAUAUAUAUAUAUAUAUAUAUAUAUAUAUAUAUAUAUAUACAUGCACACACAUAGCCAUGCAUAUAUGUACACACACAUACAUAUAUAUAUGUAUGUAUGUAUGUAUGUAUGUAUAUAUGUAUACACACACACAUAAACACAUGCAUAUAUGUUCAUACAUUACAUAUAUAUGUAAUAUAUAUACACACACACACAAUUCUUAUACAUACAUACAUA